rnacentral:rRNA from 1 species
AUUGAACGCUGGCGGUAGGCCUAACACAUGCAAGUCGAACGACUGGCGGACGGGUGAGUAAUGUCUGGGCAACUGCCUGCUGGAGGGGGAUAAAUACUGGAAACGGUAGCUAAUACCGCAUACCAUCAGAUGUGCCCAGAUGGGAUUAGCUUGUUGGUGGGGUAACUGCUCACCAAGGCGACGAUCCCUAGCUGGUCUGAGAGGAUGACCAGCCGCCCUGUAGCUGAGCCACGCUCCAGCCUCCAACGGGAGGCAGAGGUGGGGAAGAGUGCACAAUGGGCGCAAGGCUGAUGCAGCCAUGCCGCGUGUAUGAAGAAGGCCUUCGGGUUGUAAAGCACUUUCAGCGGGGUGGCGUUACCCGCAGAAGACGAACCGGCUAACUCCGUGACAGCCGCCUCGGUUUUUC